AUACGUAGGGGGCUAGCGUUAUCCGGAAUUACUGGGCGUAAAGGGUGCGUAGGUGGUUUCUUAAGUCAGAAGUGAAAGGCUACGGCUCAACCGUAGUAAGCUUUUGAAACUAAGAGACUUGAGUGCAGGAGAGGAGAGUAGAAUUCCUAGUGUAGCGGUGAAAUGCGUAGAUAUUAGGAGGAAUACCAGUUGCGAAGGCGGCUCUCUGGACUGUAACUGACACUGAGGCACGAAAGCGUGGGGAGCAAACAGGAUUAGAUACCCUGGUAGUCCACGCCGUAAACGCUGAGUACUAGCUGUCGGGGGUUACCCCCCUCGGUGGCGCAGCUAACGCAUUAAGUACUCCGCCUGGGAAGUACGCUCGCAAGAGUGAAACUCAAAUGAAUUGACGGGG
rnacentral:rRNA from 1 species